AGUGAACGCUGGCGGUAGGCCUAACACAUGCAAGUCGAACGGCAGCACAGUAAGAGCUUGCUCUUACGGGUGGCGAGUGGCGGACGGGUGAGGAAUACAUCGGAAUCUACUUUUUCGUGGGGGAUAACGUAGGGAAACUUACGCUAAUACCGCAUACGACCUACGGGUGAAAGCAGGGGAUCUUCGGACCUUGCGCGAUUGAAUGAGCCGAUGUCGGAUUAGCUAGUUGGCGGGGUAAAGGCCCACCAAGGAGACGAUCCGUAGCUGGUCUGAGAGGAUGAACAGCCACACUGGAACUGAGACACGGUCCAGACUCCUACGGGAGGCAGCAGUGGGGAAUAUUGGACAAUGGGCGCAAGCCUGAUCCAGCCAUACCGCGUGGGUGAAGAAGGCCUUCGGGUUGUAAAGCCCUUUUGUUGGGAAAGAAAAGCAGCAGGUUAAUACCCCGCUGUUCUGACGGUACCCAAAGAAUAAGCACCGGCUAACUUCGUG
rnacentral:rRNA from 1 species